rnacentral:tmRNA from 1 species
GGGGGCGAUAUAGGUUUCGACGGAAAUUGUUCUUUAAAAUCUGCAAGCCGAGUUUGACUAAAACUUGUAAAAAUAGUCAAAACAAUAAUUGCUAAACGCAAUGAUCCCGCAUACGACGUGUUAUACGCGUAAUGCUGUCUUAAAAGCUGUGCUUCUCAACCGCGCUUUUAAGGCAUAAACCCAGUUGAGAUGCAGAAAGUGUGAAACUGGUUUUACACAUUUUCUCAAGAAUUAAAACCAAGCCCCUAACUGUUUGUUAGUUUUUUAAGGUUAGGGGAAAAAAUAAACUAUCUAAGCUUGUAGAUGAUUUUAAAUUAUUUUUUUCGGACGCGGGUUCGAUUCCCGCCGCCUCCACUU